rnacentral:rRNA from 1 species
UACGUAGGGGGCUAGCGUUGUCCGGAAUCAUUGGGCGUAAAGAGCUCGUAGGCGGUCCAUCGCGUCGGGAGUGAAAAGCUGGGGCUUAACCCCAGUCCUGCUUCCGAUACGGGUGGACUAGAGGUAGGUAGGGGAGAUCGGAAUUCCUGGUGUAGCGGUGAAAUGCGCAGAUAUCAGGAGGAACACCGGUGGCGAAGGCGGAUCUCUGGGCCUUACCUGACGCUGAGGAGCGAAAGCAUGGGGAGCAAACAGG